GAGGGGGAGGAAUCUCCUCCGGAAGUUCAGUGUAUUGCAGGCAGAGAGAAGAAAAUGAAACCGCGUGGUCAGGCUCCACUUCCCUACAGAGAGGUCCUGAAACUGACCCAGGCAAAAAGAUGGUACAAUCUGGGCUCACUGCAUGCCUCCCUUCUCUUGGCCAUCACACUCUAACCAGUGGAACACAGGACACCAGGUAGCCUUGAUGGGCUUGGAUGAAGCAACCAACCAGCUGAGAGCUGCCUCUUGGAAGGAAAGGCACAUAUGGCAGGGACUGAGGGCAUCUCUGCCAUAUGGCCAGCAAGGCAGUGAGGCCUUCAGUUCAACAAGCUGCAAAGAACUGAGUCCUGCCAAAACCAUGGGAGCUUAGAGCAGACCCUUCCCCAGUUCCACCUGCAAAUGUGUCCUCAAUCCCACCCAACACUUUCUCUGCUUGCACCCUUGUGAGAGCCACUGGAAGAGAGGACCCAGCUAACCCAGUCUGGAUUCCUGACCCACAAAAACUGGGAGAUGUGUUGUUUUUAGCUACUGUGGUAAUUUGUUACACAGAAAGAGAUAACAAUCACAUUUUCCCUACUUGGAUCCUAGAACAGAAAAAGACAUGCAUAGAAAAACCAGUGAAAUCCAAAAAGCCUUAAGUUGAGUUCCUGGUACUGAGCCAAUGUUAUUUUCUUAGCAUUGAUAAAUGUGCAUGGUUACGUAAGAUGUUUACAUUAGCAGGAGCUGGGCAAUGGGUAUGGGAUCACUUGCUGUCUUUGAAACUCUUCUGUAAAUUUUUAAAACUAUUUCAGAAUACAAACUUUAAAAAAACACAUCUGGGUAUGUAUUACAUGUUACGUUUAUAAAAUAAGAGAAUAUAGCAAAUUUGAGGAGAAAAGGUAAAGGUAUCAGGGAGCCACCAGUCUAGUGGAAGGGACUCCACAAAUAGACCUUAGGGGUCACAUAGGUUAGAAAGGAGUAGCAAGUGCGGAGCUGAGCCUGCUGGGGGAGAUAUAGACUGGAAGUCAGAGUGUGGUUAAGGAAUUUCAGGAAUAUUUCCCCCUCACCUCCAUUUAAGUUACCACUAAGUGUCAACAUCUGUUCGAAAAUUGAGUUUUUUACUUAUUCCUUUAAAUGUUUUGUUCUUGCAUUUUCCAUCAUCUGAAACUCCACUGUCUGCCAGGACAUAGCCUCAUAUACUGAUCAGCUUCAGAAGUGAAUUUACAAGAUCUUUGCCACCUCUGCCCUCAGUGACAUUUUUCAAACACCUAACUUUACCAUUUAGCUUUUCAUCCACUUAUCAGCUGUAUUAUCUUCAGAAGUUACCUAAACUCUAUUCCUGGUUUCUUUAAACACGAAAUGAGAGUAAGAACCAGCACUUUCUUGAUGAAUAUUCCUUAAAAUUAUGUGAAACACUUGUUAAGGGUGUCUGUCAGGUAGU